UAAACACCUCUUAUCUUCUGGUUUUUCCUUCUUUGUGUCAGUUUUGUCUCUUUUUUUUUUUUCGUCAAAUAACAUAAUUUAUGAUUAUUGAAGAUGGUGUCUUGAAUGUCGGUUACUUUGAUCCACUUUAAAGUUAAACAGUUAACACAAUUUUAUUCUUUGAUUUUUUUUUAAUUCAAUUUUAUUCUUUGAUAUUUUUUUUUUAGUUGAGUUCAAAGAUCUUUGAAAUCGAGAGGGAGCUUGAGCAAAGCACAGCAGUGAAGGGAAAUGAAGUUAAUUUGGAGGCUAUGGUCUCUUAACAAGCACAACCAUUGGCUAUUCAAGCUAGCAGUUGCCAUUCUCUUGAUGGGUCUUUCUUUUAGGCUCUUCUUCUAUCAAUCUACGACAUUUGAACCCAAUUUCGAGCACCCUUUUCUUGAUAAAACACAAGUGCCAAAGCCACCUCUUUCUGCUGAUAUUCCGAAGCCACCGGUUGCUGUUGAUAUUCCGAAGCCACCGGUUUCUGUUGAUGUGCCAGAACCUGAAGAUGAGGAGGCGCCUAAAAAUGGUAAUCAUAUUCGGCUGCUUUUGAGUUGGGUAUUUGUUGAUUUUCUUUUUAGCUUCCUCUAUUCUCGUCCAAUGCGCAGGCAAAUUGAGUCAGCUAGGAGGAGAAUGACUGUAAUUGACAAGUGUGGUCUGUGUUAUUCAUGAAUGAGAGCAAUUGCACUAGAUCUGAGCAGUAUUAGUAAACUUUUUUUAUUUGAAAUUUGAGAUUUUUGAGGGGUUUGAUCUCAGUCUGGUUGUUACACAAUGAAAAUUUUAAUAGCUUUUGGUCUAGUUAGCACUGUGCGUUUGUUAGAUCUAUUAUUAUCUACUUAAUGGCAUCUCUUACUUUCCACAAAAUCUAUCAUUUCAGAUAUUAUUAUCCUCUGAGAAGCCCCUUUUAGUUCAGUUCUUUGAAGCAAGGUUUUGCAGAACUUGAUGCAGGAAAGUGUGAUCUUUCUGUUGGGGAUUGGAUUCCCAACCCGUCUGGCCCAAUUUACACAAAUGCUAGCUGCCCUUUGAUUGAAGGUCACCAGAAUUGUAUGAGGAAUGGGCGACCAGAUUCAGGUUAUCUAUUCUGGAGGUGGAAUCCACGAGAUUGUGAAUUACCUCAAUUUGAUCCUCAAAGAUUCCUUGAGUUAAUGAGGAAUAAAACAUGGGCAUUGAUCGGUGAUUCAAUAUCUCGCAACCAUGUGCAGUCAUUGCUGUGCAUGCUCUCCCCAGUUGAGCAAGCCGUUGAAGUUUAUCAUGACGAGGAAUACAAAUCAAAAAGAUGGCACUUUCCUUCCUACAACUUUACCAUAUCAAAUAUUUGGUCCCCUUUCCUCGUUGAGGCAGCAAUCUUUGAAGAUAAUGAUGGUGUUUCAACAGCUGAAGUUCAGCUGCAGCUUGACAAACUUGAUAAAAAUUGGACAAAUUUGUAUGGGAAUUUGGAUUACGCCAUUAUCUCAACUGGAAAAUGGUUCCUUAAAGCUGCAAUCUAUCAUGAGAAUGACACAGUAGUGGGCUGCCAUAUAUGUCCUGGAAAGAACUUUACAGAGAAGGGAUUUGUCUUUGCUUAUGAGAAAGCCCUCCAUUAUGUGAUGGACUUCAUUGCAACAUCCAAGCACAAAGGGUUGAUCUUUUUUAGGACAUCAACUCCUGAUCAUUUUGAGAAUGGAGAAUGGCAUAAUGGAGGGACUUGUCCAAAAACAACACCUUCUAAAGAGGGUGAGAUGGAAAUGAAGGACUUGAACAGGAUUCUGCGUGAAACUGAAUUAGCAGAGUUUGAGGAGGCAUCAGCAAAAGCUGCUGAAAAUGGAGUAAAUCUUAAACUUCUUGACUUCACAAAUCUUUUAGUAUCAAGGCCUGAUGGUCAUCCAGGCCCAUACAGACAGUUCCAUCCAUUUGCUGAGGACAAAAACGCCACAGUUCAGAAUGACUGUCUACAUUGGUGCUUGCCUGGGCCAAUUGACUACUGGAAUGAUGUGAUAAUGGAGAUGGUAGUUAAUAGUUGAGAAAAUCAGCAAGAGGCCUAACCUGCUGCAUUGUUAUCCUAUAAUUUUCAAUUAUACGAAUACUGUUGAUGAUUCUCAAUGGAAGUCACAGAUGAAUGGCAGCUUGCUAGUUUUUAGCCUGUGCAUAAUGGCACCGGCACCAGCACAGUUCAUCUCUUUCUUCUUUUUAGCUGCUGGUGUUGUCUUGCUCCGGAGUUCGUAUUUAACAUUUAAGGAAUUUUCAGUGCUGCCAUUUGUGACUUCAGAGACAGCGGAAGAUAGUUAAGCUUAUAUAAGAAUCAACAUUUCAAUUUCGUAGAAAAUAUAUGUAAAGAAUCAGAAAUAACUUAAUAUAAGAAUGAAUUAUGCGAC
rnacentral:misc_RNA from 1 species